AGGAGUGUAGCUCAGCUGGAAGAGCAGCGGUCUCCAAAACCGCAGGUCGCGGGUUCGAAUCCUGCCACUCCUGC
rnacentral:tRNA from 1 species